rnacentral:rRNA from 1 species
GACGUAGGGCGCAAGCGUUGUCCGGAUUUAUUGGGCGUAAAGAGCUCGUAGGCGGUUUGUCGCGUCUGCUGUGAAAACCUGAGGCUCAACCUCGGGCUUGCAGUGGGUACGGGCAGACUAGAGUGCGGUAGGGGUGACUGGAAUUCCUGGUGUAGCGGUGGAAUGCGCAGAUAUCAGGAGGAACACCGAUGGCGAAGGCAGGUCACUGGGCCGCAACUGACGCUGAGGAGCGAAAGCAUGGGGAGCGAACAGG